GUUCCGAUCAUGCGCCUUUGAGCUCUUGAGCCCGCUUUAUGGGCCUGGGCUAAUUCUCUCUGACACCAAGUUUGGGCCUUCGUCCGUUUUUUGGCUAUUUGGUGACUACAACUGCUCUGAAGACCCAAUGUGCAUCCAGGGCCGACUUCAAGGAGACAUCCCAUUGUGAACAUCCAGGAAACAUCUGGCUGUGUCUGGAGAUCAGCUACUGAAAAUUCCUCCAUAUGCCGAGGCCAGUCACCUGCACUGGGGACUCAUCAGACUUCUCUUCAGUAACACCCAAGCUUGCAGUGCGUAGGUGACAAAUGAAAUUCUACUAAUGGUCCGAGAAAUAAGCACCCAAAGGAAACUGAGACUUUUAUCUCUGUCACCCCCAAGUGGAAGGGAUGCUGUUCUGAAGAUUGGAUAUUUGCUCUCAGAGACCCUCUUCUCUUGGGGAAGUGCAUUCCAUGUGGACUGGAUGAGGUUUGCCACCAGUCUGAGAAGUGGACGUGGGGCCCAGACCCGGCUGAUCCCAAUUCUCUAAUCCUCUGGCCACAGUGAUGGAUCGGGUCAGCCCGGGUUCCAAGAGGAGCCAAAAUCCUAUCAGGUAGGAUGCUGUCUUUCAAAGAGGUUUCACGAGAAACGACAUAAGGCCUGAACUUCCGACAACCAUCCUGGACCUACGUGGGGAGAGACUGAGCACCGACAGCAUACUUCAGACCCCAACCCGGCCUCGCCAGGAGGCUGACUUCUCAGUUACGUGAACUAAUGAGUUUCCUGCUUUGCGAGCACUAAGUUACUUUGAUUUGGAUUCCUGUUACUUGUGUCUGUAUAGACCUGGAAAAUAGUAGAAGUGAGACCUGUAGAUACUGGGGGGAAGAGUGUUACAGACAGAGGGAAUAGCAUGUUGAAGGCCAGUACAGCUGGGGGAAUGGAUGAGGUGGACGGUUGUUGGGCUUGUGCUCUGUACAACAUUGUCUGGACAAGGGGUAAAGAGAAUUUGGGGCUGUUACUGGGCUGAAUAGUGUCCCCUCCAAAAUUCGUGCCCCCACCACCCAGAAUCUCAGAGCGUGAUCUUAUUUGGAAAUAGAGUCUUUGCAGGUGUAAUUAGUUAAGAUGAGGUCACGGUGGGGUAGGCCCUAACUCCAGGGACUGUUGUCGCUACAAAAAGGCCACAUGAGGACACAGAGAGACACAGGGAGGAGGCCAAAUGGCAACAGAGCAGAGACUGGAGCACACACCUGUCAUCCAGGGAGCACCAGGCGCAGCCAGCAGCCACCAGAAGCCGGGAAGAGGCAAGGAAGGAUUUCUCCCCUAAUGCCUCCAGAGGCAGGGUGGCCCUGCCACCGCCUUGAUUCUGGACUCCCAGCCUUCAGAACGGCGAGCAAAUAUCUGCUGUUUCAAGCCACCCUGUUGGUGGCACUUUGUUAUGGCAGUGCUAGGCAAUGAGUGUGGUGGGUGGGUAUCCCAGCUGCCGUCUCCCUGCUGGGUCAGCUCCCA